rnacentral:lncRNA from 10 species
CGGCGUUGGGGACUCCGGCGGGGGAUGCGCGCCCGGCCCCUCAGCGCCCCCAGCACGCCGCCGAGUCCCGCUCGCCAUGGUGGCCCCUCACUUGCUGCAGCGCCCACUCGGGCCCAGGCACUCUCCCGGGCGCCCUGAUCCGACAGCCCCAGGCAAGUGCAGCUGUUCCUGGUCUGCAGAUGAAGAAAUGGAGGCUCCGAAAGAAGCAAAGCAGUUCAUCGAUUCGCUGAGCGCGGUUGUGCCCCAGGCGCUGUUGUGGGCCUGGGGACGCUGUCGCGAACGAAACUGCGAACAAAACAGACGAACCCCCUCCUCUGGACGUGAUUCUGCAGAGAGGGGACAGAGAAGGAGAUUCUAACACAGCAUUGGGGUGGGACGCGUGGGGAAUGGCUUUGUUGCCACUCGGGACUAGGGCUCUAUUUUUCUCUCUGCAUUCAGAAGCCUCGAAGGAUCAGUCGUUGAUUCUUGAGUGAGCACCUACUACGUGCCAGACAUUGAUAUAGGGGUUAGAGCUUCAGCAAUGAACAAAAUAGACAAUAAACCUCUCUCUCAUGGAGGUGGCAUUCUGAUUGAGCAGCUGGGUAAACACGUUUAUGAAUAACUUCAGAGAGAG